AUUCUGGAUCCGCCUCUAUUGAGACAUAUAUGAUUGAUUAUAACUUUGUUUGGAAAGCUUGUUUAAACAGAGCUAAUUAAUUUAAAGUUUAAGCAGAGAGUAACUGCCACAGCUAGGAGGUUUUGUCUGUGUGCUAGUAAAAUUUGGCAUAUCCUAUGAAAAUUUGACUAGUGGAGCACAUGGAUUUGGAAAGGAAACCAUUAGCGGCUUUAAUUAGGUGAAGGCAUAUCAUUGUCAUCCAUAUGUGGAUCUAUAGCAGCCAGCCAGAAUGCUUCCUUGUCAUCCUCACGUUCCAUUUUAAUAUUUAAUACAACAAAUGGGAUCACCGAUUUUACACUACUUUUUUUUUCUCUAAAUAACAAACUUUCUGACUUGUCUAUUUAUUGCAGGAUAAUGUGGACACAAGAAUUAUUCAUCACUUGUUAUCUACAAAGUAGACUGUAGUUCAGAUAUUAUUGUCUUUGUUGGAUCGAUAUUGGUUUCUUUAUUUUAGCAAAUUAUUGACUGAGAAUAGAUAAAGAUUAUGGGUUUCUUUAUCCAGACAAGGAAAGUUUGGCACCUUUUACAUAAUUAAUAUUUUAGAGGGAUAGUGAUACGACCCAAAAUAGCCAACAUACGCUUUGGAUAUAAAUUAAUGACUACUUUUGCAAUUGGAGGUUAUGUGUAAUUUUCCAUCAAUUGAGACUACAUGUAAUUGGAGGCUAUACUUGUAAUAAGUGAACACAGUUAGUUCCUUAGAAUUAGCUUAGGGGUAUUUGGGUCAUUUGCAAUCAACUACUCAAUCUAGUAUAAGUAGCCCUUAAGGCUUUCAUUUUAGGGGGACUAAUGUUGAUGAAUGAUAAAUAAUCUUUUGACAGGUGUAAUGGUGGUUUGCAUUGUUGAUGACAACUUUAUUCAAGGAAUGAUGAGAACUAGUGAAGGGUCUUCCUAAUAAAAUGGAAGCCAUGAUGGAACAAUUAUUGAAACAAUUGGGAGUGUUGACCAAUGAUCUCAAGAAAGUUAACUCUUUAUUAAAAUUCAAAGAACAUUGGAUAGAUGUGUUAGGAGGUAUCAAUCCUUUGCCCAUGGAAGAUCCAAAGAUUGAGCAUAAGUUGCAAAAUAAAAGCAAAGAAUGAGAAGAAAAUUGAAAAGAGUAAGAGAAAACAGAAAGAGAUCAGACAAAAACAAGAGUGUAUGAGAGAGUAUAUCUUAUUCUAACUCUAAUCUUUUUAACUCUCUUCCUUUAGUUAUUUGAAUUCUUGUAUUGGCAAUUGUGAAUAUGAGCCAAUUGAUGAGAAAACACGGGAAGAACUUCAUGACUUGGGCAAUGCAAAAGAAGUUGAUGUACUUCAUCAAAUAAGCAAGUGAGCUUAAAUUUGGAAGACCGAGGUAAAAAAGUUUCAGUAGUUGCUUCUCAAGGUAAAAGAGCUAGUCAUAACUUUCUGGUUACUUCAAAUGACAUUGUUAGUGACUUGAUUGUGAGCGAUAAUCUAACUACUUGUGAUAUUGAUGAUUCUUUACUUUGUCUUGACAUGCAAAAGGAAAGUUAUGACCACCUACUAGUUGAUUAUAAUCUGGGGGCUAAAAUUACUAUUGAUUGUGAAUUUGAAAUUCUUCAAACUAGUAUUGUGUCAUUGGUUGGGAAUCAUGAUUUUGAAUGUGUUUCUUUGAAUGUUUGCCAUGAAAAUGAAUUUACUUCUUCUUUAGCUAUAAGAAAUACUUUUGAGAGUGAAAAUUGAGAGAGGAUGAAAGGCUCUUGGCUAAUGAGUUUUAUUGUUGGAAUUCUUCAUCUUGUGAAGUUAUGUAUUCAUUGUAUAAUCAAAUUAGUGAGGACAUGAAUCUUUGUAAAAGUGAAUUGAUGAGCUUUGUGGAUCCAUCUUUGGAUAAUUAUUUUAGUUUGCAAGUAAGUCAAGAAUCUUGUGUGUUUGAGAGUGAACAUGAAUCUUUCACGUUUGGUGUGAAUGAUUCUUACUUAUUUUUACUUGGUGCAACAGGAAGGAUGAAUCUAAUUCUUUGAACAACCUGACUCCUUCUUUCUUUAUUGUGAAGGAUAUUAAUAGAGAGUUUUCUUGUUCCUUUGAAGAGAAAUUUUUUAAUGAGGAGUUAACUUGUUUAUUUGAGAAGGAAAGUCCUAAUGCUAUUCUCAAGGAUGAAGAAGUUUUUAAUAAAAAUGAGAGUGAGCUAAUUGAUGCUAGCUUUAGUGCUAAUUGAUGCUAGCUUUAGUGCUAAUUGAAGCAUGAAAUAACUUAUUUAAUUUUAAAUGUGAUAAAUCUUCUUGUGGUGACUUGACUAAUAUCUUGAACUUCUUUGUAAAGGAUUAUCAAACAGGGAACCAUAAGAGAGAUAGAUGCUUGAAGCUACUAAAUGGUCCAACAAAAGGUUUUAAAACUUUAAUGCUUAUCUAAGGUAAUAAUGGUAUGUUUGAUUGGUUAGUGCUUAUUUUUGGGCUUUCUAUAGCCGUGGAGGUAAUUGCUAUACCCUUGAAUGUCAUAGUAGCAGCUUUGUACUUAAUGACUAUGAUUUAUUAAUAUUGCUAUUAUAUUCAUGUUGUGAGUUGCCAAGUUGCCAACAUAGAGAUUAUUUGGGAAUAAUAUGUGUUUGAUCCCGGUGAUUCAUUCUA